UGGUUCUGGCAUCGAUGAAGAACGCAGCGAAAUGCGAUAAGUAAUGCGAAUUGCAGAAUCCGUGAGUCAUCGAAUCUUUGAACGCAUAUUGCGCCCCUUGGUAUUCCGAGGGGCAUGCCUGUUCGAGCGUCAUUAUCACCCCUCAAGCCCAGCUUGGUGUUGGACUCGGUUAAAGUUUUCGCUGUAGCCGGUCUCAAAAAUAAUGACGGCGUCCUAGAAGGAACCGGUACGAGGAGCUUUCUUAAGCAUGUACACGGCAGGAUUCUAUGGCGACGGUCUUUAUCUAAUUUAAUAUAAGUGUUGACCUCGGAUCAGGUAGGAAUACCCGCUGA
rnacentral:misc_RNA from 1 species